UAUGACUCUGAGCACGAGUUAUAUGUCCGUAUCUAGAUACAAUUUUUUCUGAAUUAAUGUGUAUUGUUUCAAGGUCUGUUCGAGCCUUGGGCCCAAUGGGCUGUGUGGCUGAGUUAUUUCUUAAUAAAAAUGCCACGGGAGCUAGUCCUAUUGCUCUUCUUUUUUAUAGAUAUAAAAAUAAUGCAUUAUAACUUCCAAUGUAUAUGGUUAAAUGAAAAGGUUUAAGAUUGAUGUAAGUUUUUUUGAACCAAACUUACUCAAAUUGUUGUAGCUUAAUGUUCUGGACAAUUCUGAUGUACCAUUUAAGAAAAAUCAGAAUAGUGUAGUAAUAGAGUUAUGUUGGUUUGUGUACCAUUUGGGAGAAAUAAAAAAUAGAAAGUUGUACGAAUUGUGUACCUUUUUUGCCACCACUUGGUAUAUUUACCUUUGUUUUGCAAAACAUGAGAACUGUUGCUGGCUGUUUACUCUUGUCGGUCAACCAUACUGUGUGCCGGUUAACGACAAUUUGGAAGAAUCCUUUGGAAUACCCUGUCAAAGAAGCCGGUCACAAAACUGAGAAAUAGAAGAUAAAAACCUUGGUGAGUUUUUCAAGUAGGAUACCCAUAAUAGUUAUGCAUAAAUUAGUUGUGGCAAACCAUAUUUUAUGAUAGAUGUAUUGACGAAUAUGAUAGAAUGUACUUGCAUUUUUCUAGCAAAGGCACUUUUAUCUCAUCUUUACUAAUUUGUAGUCUUUGUCGUAUAUUUAAUCGUCUCCCCUAGUCAAACCAUUUUUUACUAGGAAUAAAAUCUUAGUUAUUCAGAUUGAACAUUUGAUCAUAUAUAAGCUUUUAAUGUACUACUUAUACUUUAUUCAUUGUUAUACAUGUAUUACAAUGGAAAUUAACUGGCAUAUGGAAUAUAAUCUUAGUUAUUCAGAUUGAACAUUUGAAAGCUUUUAAAGCAUUUUUUUAUAGUUUACUAGAACAAUGCUCGUGCGUUGCAACGGGAUAUAAAUAUUCUAGUACGUUAGCUGAUUUACCUGUCAAUAAUAAUGUGAUUGUGUAAAUAAAUGUUCAUCAAAUUUUGAUCGUGAAUUACUUUAUAUUUUGAUUAGAUGUUUAGUAAGUGAAUUAAAGUGAAAUUUGUUCAGAAGGUAAGUAAAUUAAGGUGAUUGAUUUUUAUAUACAUGGAAGGUUGGACUAAGGGGUGGUGAAAAAAAGGUGAAAUGAAAACCUUACAUUCUUUUUAAGUAGUAGAGAUUUAUUUUUUAAAGGUCGCCGCUGCUGUGGUCUCUCUGCUCCACUGUUUGCGGCAUUGGUCCCUGCGUGUUGCUAGUUGAUGAUGCAGGCGGCCACCACCUUUGGAGCCUCCGGCUCCGGCCGCCCUUCAAACCUCUCCAUUGGCUCCUCGGCUCCAUGCGGCAGUGGACAGCGAGAAGGGCGGGUGGCGGCGGUCGGAGCAGAGUCGGUGGGAAGAGUGGGCUUUGGCGCGAAAGAAGUGUGGAAUGGUCCAAUUGCGUGGGCUCCGCCUUUGUUUUGGGUUGUGGUUUGUGGGAAUUUGGCCUCCUACAGCGAUUAUAGCCCACCCAGCCCAAAGAGCCUGUCCCCCUCGCUACAAACCCUCCCCCGUGGCCAACCCCAUCCCCAAAUUCCCCAAAUUCCUCAGCCGCCGCCGCCGUCGUCGCCGCUGCCGCCGUCGCCGCCCUCCCAAAGAAUCCAAAGAUACACUCAUGGCGGAGCAGCAGCACCGCCAGCAGGGACGCCCCGCCCGCCUGCCAGCGCCGGCGCAGCUGCUGCUGCAGGGACCCCCUGCCCCCCUGCCAGCACCGGUGCCGAGGGAGAUAACCCAGAAUGACUACCACCUGGCUUUCCAAACCGUCAAACGGAGGGGCUUUCCCAUUCCCGGCAACGCCCCCGAUGUGGAAAAUACCUUUUUUUAAAUUCGAGAAGACAGACACCACUGGCAAUCGUCAGUGGGACUUGGUGAAGAUGCAAUGUGUUAACAGAAGCAACCUGGUUGGCAAUAAGCGCAGGGACAUCCUGCCGUUGCUGAACAAGAGGAAGAAGAGACAUAUUCAGAAGCAGUUGAACAAAUACCGCAAUGAACUUCAAGGUCUGGAAGCUCAUCUUCAAGCUAAAAUCGAUGACUUUGACCAGUUUGUUCCUGGUGGUUAUGCCAUGCCCCGUCAUUUCCUUGAGUUCCCAGCGCUCGAGUAGAUGGGAGGGAGGGUCAGCUGUGAGUACCAGUAAGCCGCAGUUUUGAGAAAACCAUUCCUCAAUUUGCAUUGCUGUGUUGGAUACACACAUAGAACCUCCCUGUUUUGGCAGUGCCUAGUUUAGUGUCUUGGAUCAGUAUUUGCCCACUCUUCCUGUUGAUGAUACGGCUGUUUUCUGGGUUGGUACUUCAGUCACUCUUGCUGUUGUCUGGGUGGUUUAUUCUGUGACAGUUCAUUCAUGUAUACUUUCCACUUGUCAUCUUGGCAUUUCAUAUGUUAUACUACGAGUAGUUGACAUGGAA